UACAGAGGGGGCAAGCGUUAUUCGGAAUUAUUGGGCGUAAAGGGCGCGUAGGCGGCUUGGCAAGUGGAAGGUGAAAUCCCUCGGCUUAACCGAGGAACUGCCCUCCAAACUGCUUAGCUUGAGACCGGGAGAGGUGAGUGGAAUUCCCAGUGUAGCGGUGAAAUGCGUAGAUAUUGGGAGGAACACCAGUGGCGAAGGCGGUUGCCUGGGGCUUUGCUGACGCUGAUGCGCGAAAGCGUGGGGAGCGAUCCGG
rnacentral:rRNA from 1 species